rnacentral:lncRNA from 1 species
CUUGAUCACUAAUUGAAGUGUGCUCUUCGCUGCAGCAUACAGUGGCCACCAGGACGCGGAGGGCUAUCUCCCCUAUCUAUAUAUUGUCAUAACAUUCGGAUAUCAAAAUCCUGGAAUGUUAUAGACAUGACCUCCAAGAGAACUAUUGGAAAAGUCUUACUAUACUCCUUAUUUAUGCAUGUAAGCCAACACAAACAUGAACACCACGUCCAGUGAUCCCUCCAUCAGUUCAAAAAGCCAUUCCCUGUUUUUGACCUCUAUUGGAAGCCCGCCUCAGCCCGUCGAUGCGUCGGCUGAGACUGAGCUGCUCGUCAGUGCUUGUCGAUGGCGGCUCCAUCUUUUUGGUGAAUAGAAAUCUCCAUCUCCAUCUUUUGGUGAAUAGAAAUCUCCGACUCCGCUUCCUCCAGAAAGCUCACCGUCUACCACCUAUGCUUCUGCGGUGAUGGUCAUUGUGCUGCAUCAAGGAAAAAUGAAAUAGUUGGAUAAACUUUUAGGUACCAGCAGAAGCAGAUUGAACUGGAAAUCUUAAACAUGUGAUAUGAAAAACAAAGUAAAUAUUCUACUUCUACAAAAGAUACGACUAAUCUAGUAAAGUAAUUUGGAAUGUCGGCUUAACUAACUCUUUACUAUUAACUAUAUUGUGGAGAACCCAAUUUUUUUACCAUAAAUAGAAACAAAAAAACUUUCAAUGUAUCAGAUAAAUAACUCUUUCCCAUCCGAAAUUCCAUAAGAUCCAGAUCCAUUCAUGAAAAUAAUGUGCCUAUCACAAAUUUGUCAUCUAUUAUAUGAAACAAUGGUGCAUGGUAGCAGAUGUGCUAGAGAGAGGGCUGCUUCAGGGCGAUCUUAUUGGUUGUCAGGAGUCAACACCAACCUUAAAAAAUAGUAAUUAUAAUCACAAACUUCAUGUAUUUACGUGAAAAGAAUUAUAAUCAGCAGGGAACAAGAUUAUAGUAGACAGAAGCUUCAGACCCGAUUGAAAUCACAGACAGUUCAAUUUUCUAAAGUUGGUCUUCACAAGUAUGAAAAAUGGAGAAUGAAUGUAGGCCUUUGUUUACACAUGACAUCAAUCUGGCUUACAAAAUUGGUCCACAGGAGACCGAGAUGCUGGGUUAGAAUGUUUUUAGAUUGAUUGUAGGGUGGAUGCAGUAAAACAUGACCAUGACAAACACUGUGACAGUAUUUUAAAGCAGUAUAUACAAGCUAUAUGAUUCAUGACCUAAUUAUCUAAGAGCAAUCCAAAUGAACUUGACAUAUUAACAACAUCAAAGUUUCCAUGGCAUGCAGAAACAGAGCAUGUUGCUGGAUCAACAAUACAACAACCUACAGUAAAUGCUUGAUUUUGGUUUGGACUCCGAAAAUCUGUACGCUGUUUGUAAUUCAGAAAUUCAUUGUUUCGUUCAUGCGCUCCAAAUUAAAGAUUAUUCAUCACUACGCUGGAUAAAGCUAAGCCAUUUCAAUCAUCCUGCCAGCUUAAGCAGCAACAUGUUCAGCAAUUGGCUCAAAUUAUGAAGAAAAGACUAACAAACAUAGCGAAUUCCAUGUCAAACACAAACACCAUGACAAACUAAAACGAUGAGAAUUCACAAAGGACAUGAUCGAAAGGGACAUGACAAGCACCACCACCAAUUAUUUUUAGCAAGUGACUUAUCUCAGAUCAAUUCAAAUAAACUGACCAAAUUAACAGCAGCAUGCUGCCUUGGCAUGCAGAAAUAGAUAAGCAUGCUGUUACAACUACCUAUGACAGCUAUAUAGGCUACAGUAAAACGCACUGCUUGGCUGUUGUGGCCUGGUGGUAUUAUAGGACUCCAUCAGGAGGUCCCUAGAGAUAAACACGUAAAGAACACCCAAGGAUGCUUACUGCCCGUAAUACACAAAAUCAGAGAAAACUAACUGUGAAUACUGCCAGAAACUUAAGAAUAAAAUCCUCGCAUAAAAAUAAAUUUGCUACUUUCUAAAUACCAUUGGAAUCUUAGAAUCAACUUGCUAUGAAGAAAUAGCAGAAUAGCAGACAGAGAGAUAGGGGACAGAAACAAUAGCUCAAACGGGGGAUCAACAUGAUGUUACUUGAUGAGUACCAAACCAAGAUGUGUAACCAUGAUAGCUGGUGUUGAACUCAGAUAUACACACUAAAUGUUCUGCUAUGCCAAAAUAAAUGCAUUAGAAUCUUUUUGUAAUUAAGGUUGCUCUGCCAUUGCUAAUUAUGAUGUUGUGCUAUACUACUAUUUCAUAUAGAUGGAGGUCAGGGAGGAGAGCAGCAGCCUGUUGUUGCGAUUUUGUUCAUGCUUCUGUUUGGUUACCACUACACAUCUAUAAAAAGAACACACGGAACAUAAGGCUGCUACUUGCUGCUUUCAAGGGGAUACAUACCUUUGUUGUAGUCGCCGCGGGAAAUAUUGGACGGCUUGACGGAUGUUUUUGUUCCUCAAGUAAGCCUUGCUAGAAAUGAGAUCGAGACAGAUAAAAACUGGCACCCAUGGUAGGGUCAGAGAAUCGGAAAGCAGAAAUGGUUAGUCAUGAUAGCAGAAUAGCAUGACGACGGACUGUUGGAUGAUGUAGAGCUUGACUUUCUCAAAUGAGAUGCGUGUAAUCUGUAAAUUUUAAUAGACAUUUUAUAAGCAGGAAAAUCUCUAUUUUGGAGAGUCAAAUCAGCUCCAACUACAUAAUGGACGUCACGCAACAACUACAAAUUCCAAUUCAUCCAAUUGAUGGAAAAAUGCCCCUAAAAACAUGGUGCUAAGGGAUAGGAGCAUGGUAGCUUUGAAGAAUGCAUACGUCAGCUUACAUGUGCAGGAUAGAUAGCAGGGCAAGUCGCACACUUUGUAAAGUGAUGACGUCAUAACACUGAAGAGUUAUUUUACAGCUAACAUUAACUCAAUCAUCCUAUGUAGAUUCUAUUUUUAUUGUCCUUCCCUUGUUUGUCUUCUUUUCUUUUCCUUUCAUUUUCUUCUUUUUUUGUCUUUCCCCACAAUUGAUAAUUCUUUUGUUUCUUGACACAACAAAAAAUUAAAGUAGGGACAAACCUUGCUGCUUCAGGUUACAAAAAAAUGAAGUCAAUCUAUUAAUCAAUUUGUCAUGUUGGGAAGUAGUGCUAGAUAGAUUCCCGCCUAGGUUUAUUAGGUAUUUGACCCUUCUCAUUAUUUAAACUGGCAAUAAGCCUCCGAUUUAUGGAUGGUGUAAAACUUGGGAAUAAAUAAUAUAGAAACACAAUAUCGGCAUUGUUUAUUUAGCAUAAAAAUAUUGCAGAAGUUCGUUACCUUCUUACGUGGUUCCACUAUCAGCUCAGUCCAAUCCUCGUAGCCUUGUUGACAAAUUCCAUUCUUGUAGGCCUGUCAACAUAUUCCAUUAGCACCAUUUCAAUUUUCCUAGUACCACUCUCUCAUCUUCACAAAGAUUCCAUACAACUACUGAAGCUAAACUCGUAGGGCUGUGAACUAAACCCCCGAUACAUUUUGUAAUAUUGAUGUGCUUGAGGCCAAACUUUAGUACAUUCCCACCAGUCUUUGGAGUUGCAGUUAAGCUGCGAAAACAAUCAUGAAAACAUAAACUAUACAGUUUUGAAAACUGCGCAUGAAGCUAGUCCAUAGCUGCGACCAUAGCAGUAUGCAUAUUCAAAUUAGCAAGCGAGAUUUGACAAGACUCGCUAGGAAAGCAAUGAUCUCAAAAUGCACAUGCUGGCUGAAUAAUGUAGUAUACAUGACAACCAUAGGUGUUCACAGUUGUAAUGGUAACCAUUGUAUAUAACUAUAUAUACAUAGUAUAUUAUGCAUAACUUCUCAUCAUUCAAUAUAUUUCAGAUGCAAAUAGUGACACCUUUCUAGAAAUUGUUUUAGUUUGGUAGGUCUUUAGCGCCUUGUUUUACGGUGACCAUCUCCUAUCACAUAUCACAGGUAAAAUUCCACCCUUCCAGGUCGCCCUGCCAUGGCCCUACUUAAGCUCCUUCUCGUUCUUACUCCGGUUCCAAUUAAGCAAACCCAUGCCAAAUAUUGUCUAAUCUUAAAAAAAUAUCAUUAGCACAUCAUGCAGCAGGAGAAAACCCAUGCCAAAUGUACAACUGCAGGAGUGCCGAACAACAAUGCUUUCAGCCAAUCAACACUAUUCAGAGAAAAAAUCGACAAAUUGAAAAAGCUUGCAUGAUGGACGGGACAAAAUGAUAUACCUCUCCUCAAAUAUAACUUAGAGAUGUGUUCGUACACUUGUACAUAUACCUUCAGAUAUAUCCUUCAGGCUCAUGUUCAGGUUUAGGAUCAGGUUCCUGGAAAUGAGUUGCAAUAAGAAAAUCAGUGAGAAAUUUACUCCCAACAAAGAAAAAAUCAACAAAAGCCAAAAUCAAUGCCGAACUCGUCACCAGCAUGCUGCACUUACUCCCUAAAAAACAUCCUGCACUUACCGAGACAGCAUACCCUCG